rnacentral:rRNA from 1 species
UACGUAGGGUGCAAGCGUUAAUCGGAAUUACUGGGCGUAAAGCGUGCGCAGGCGGCUUUGCAAGACAGAUGUGAAAUCCCCGGGCUUAACCUGGGAACUGCAUUUGUGACUGCAAGGCUGGAGUGCGGCAGAGGGGGAUGGAAUUCCGCGUGUAGCAGUGAAAUGCGUAGAUAUGCGGAGGAACACCGAUGGCGAAGGCAAUCCCCUGGACCUGUACUGACGCUCAUGCACGAAAGCGUGGGGAGCAAACAGG